AGAAUAGAGGAGCGGAUGAACAUGAGUACCCCACCUAAGGCGAGCAGGACGGCUCGACGAGAAAGGGUGGAGCUUGGAAAGGGUAUCUCCGCCGAAGCGUAAAGUAGUCCGUUUACGCUGGGCAUACGGGAGAAUACCCGUGUGACUGUCACCGUUCGUGAUGAGCUAUU
rnacentral:ncRNA from 1 species